UACGUAGGGUGCGAGCGUUAAUCGGAAUUACUGGGCGUAAAGCGUGCGCAGGCGGUUUUGUAAGCCAGAUGUGAAAGCCCCGGGCUUAACCUGGGAAUGGCAUUUGGGACUGCAAGGCUCGAGUGCGGCAGAGGAGACUGGAAUUCCUGGCGUAGCAGUGAAAUGCGUAGAUAUCAGGAGGAAUACCGAUGGCGAAGGCAGGUCUCUGGGCUGACACUGACGCUCAUGCACGAAAGCGUGGGGAGCAAACAGG
rnacentral:rRNA from 1 species